UGCAAGUGAUGUGAAGAAUAUUUGCUAUCUUAACAAUAGUGCUGACAUUUUCCACCAAGAUCACUGAUGCA
ensembl:snoRNA SNORD24 Small nucleolar RNA SNORD24